AUUGGUAUUUUGACCAAUCACAUCAAAACUUUUUCCGUGCCGAUUGGUCAAAAUAACAAUUAGUGCCUGUGUAGACCAGUGUUUUCUAACUCCAGUCCUCGAGUAGCCCAACAGUACACAUUUUAGAUGUAGCCCCGGACAAGCACAUCGGAUUCAAUUUAUCAUCAACCCCACAAGACAUGCCACCAGCGGUCUCUUCACACUCCCCAAAUCCAGAGCAGAUUGUGGGAGGCGCACAGCAUUAAAUAGAGCCAUAACUACGUGGAACUAUAUUCCACAUCAGGAGCAAGCAGCUACAGAUGCAAGCAGUAAAAAUAUAUGUUUAUUUUAAACAUAAAAGUACACCUUAUGGAACAGCGGGGACUGUGAAAGGACACACAGGGCUGGCGGUGCAUGAACCCAUCUCAAGGGCACUAUGGAAGUUCAUGAUUGGGCCAACCCUGACAGCUGGCCUGUGCUGGACUAUGCUGACACUGGCUGCUACUGUGGGAAGGGCAGCUUGGGCACACCUGUGAAUCCACUGGACAGGUAGCAACUACCCUGGAAGGACCACCAGUCUUCACUACAAGUCCCUGAGGACAGAGGUCAGGGCGUCAUGCUGGGUAACACUCAAUGUUUUGUACAAUGGCUGGGGAUGGUCUAUUAUCUACCAAUAAGUUAAUUACCUCACUGGAAUCUCAAAUUCAUCAUAAUUGACAUGGUUGAUAGUAGCUGGGUCUGAAAGGGACCGGAGGAGCGUGAAUGAAGGAAGGGGAGAGUUUAUGAACAAGCAUCUACAAUGUUAUCAGCGCUUGACUUCACUUGGUGGUUAAUCUAAAUAGUUAUUAUUUCAGGUAUUUUCUCCAUACAUUAAUCUCCUCAUUCAGUCUCUUCAAACUUUUAGUUAGCUCUAUACUCCAGCGUUUUUUAUUUGAGAUCAAAUGUUUGAGGCGACAGUACAGACGGUCACCUUUUAUCUGAGGGUUUUUUCAUGUUUUACCGUUUUAGAAAUGGAAAAUAAUUCACUUAAUGUAUUAAAGUUGUCACGUUUAUUAUUUGGUCCCAUAUUCCUAGCACACAGUGACUACAGCCUUGUGACUCUGCAAACUUGUUGGAUACAUUUACAGCUUGGUUGUUUCAGAUUAUGUUUUGCCUUAUAGGAACUGACUGGUUAAUGAUGACUGGAAUAAUUAUUUCUAAGUGAGCAAAUAAGAUGUUUCUGAACACUUCUAAAUUAGUCCUGAUAAUAAAGAACGAUCAUGAAUGAUGAGUGAGAAAGUUAGCGGCUACAACAAAACAUGCUAACCUCACCAUUACCAAUAACAGGGGAGGUAUGAUCUUUGUGCCUCUAAUUUACUUAAGCAUCAUAAUCCAUAAUCAUAGAACCAAUCUUCUGAACUGAGGGGUGGAGCCUUUACAGGCUCUGUAGUAAAUGUAGGCAAAGGUGUCAUCUCUCAGUGAUCACCUAGGUGACUCAGUGAUCCAGUCUGUGGCCCGGGGUAAAAAAAGAAAAAGACACUAUCAGGACUAUACAAAACAUUCCUAUGAUGUACGUUAACUCAUGUAUUUCCUUAUUCUGUUAACAAAUCUAUUCUGAGGUUAAUGGAACGAUAAGGGUGUAUGAUGAGCUCAAGUCAAGUUUUUCAGUUGUCUAUACUUUAUUAAGUAAAGGAACAUUUCCAUAGUUGAGUUAAACAGGUUGUAUUUCCCCAGAAUGUUCAUAUCAAUGACAUGAAUUGACCCUCUGUGCCAGUUCCACCCCUUUCUGUUCCAAUUUGCUCACAGACAAGGCAAAUACCUCUUGAAGGCCUCCCUUCACAGGGAAUAGGGAUGUGCAGGUUGUCAGGGUUAGUUUUGGUCCAGGGGGUAAUGCAGGUAUCUGGUUUCUCUUUGGGGUUCCUGCAGCGGAAAAUCACAUUUGUAAUGUUCUUUUGUUUGAGGGAAUACAAAGGUUGAGGUCCAUGUGAUAAAAAUGAAUAAAAAAACAUACCAAAUUUUUUUAUUAAAAAAAAUCUGGGACAUAAACCAAA